UUAUAUGGAGAGUUUGAUCCUGGCUCAGGACGAACGCUGGCGGCGUGCCUAAUACAUGCAAGUCGAGCGGACGGAUGGGAGCUUGCUCCCAGACCAUCAGCGGCGGACGGGUGAGUAACACGUGGGCAACCUGCCUGUAAGACUGGGAUAACUCCGGGAAACCGGGGCUAAUACCGGAUAAUUCUUUCCCUCACAUGAGGGAAAGCUGAAAGAUGGCAUCUCGCUAUCACUUACAGAUGGGCCCGCGGCGCAUUAGCUAGUUGGU
rnacentral:rRNA from 1 species